rnacentral:lncRNA from 1 species
UGCUGUAGAAGUCCGGACGAAAACUUUCUGUUGGAGAAAUUCGGCUGGAGUCUGAUUGCUAGAGAAGUCCAUCUGAAAUUUAUCUGAUGUAGAAGCUUGUCUGAAGACUGUCCGCUGGAGAGGUCCGAUUGCAUGAGGAAUCCGAUAAAAGGUCGAUCGAUAGCAAAAUUCAAAAAGCAUUGUGGAAGAUCAUCCUCUGGAGGAGCCUGGAGGACACUGUGGAAGGUCGACCGCUGGAGGGGUCUGGAGGGAAUUUAUCCAUUGGAGGGGUCUGGUUGGCACUGUUGAAGUCCGGUUGGCACUGUUGAAGGUUGAUGGCUGGA